rnacentral:lncRNA from 1 species
GACUUGGAUAUUUCCGAUGUGACAGUGUUGAUGAACCAACUUGCUGACCAGAUUCUUAAGCUCGUAUCAAAUGUCGAGGUUCUUGCAGACAGACAUUUUUCUUUUACUUAGCUUGUGCUCUAGGUGCUAUGUAAACAUGUGGACUUGUGCAGUAUUUUAAAUCAUUUUGUAAUAUAGAUUAGAGCCAAGACCAAAGACCUUUUACAAAUUUUAUGUUAUCUUAGAUGUUGGAUUAAAGUUGCAAUUGUUUUGGUUGUAGCUAGAAUGAUAUCAGUGUUGAAAAUAUUAUUUGUUUUGGUUAGUAGAUAUUUAGUUUUACAA